AAGAAAAUGAGCGAUUCUGGGCAAUUCUGAAGGGUGUGGGUGACAAAUAAAACGGAAAUGGACUGACCUUGUUGGAGAGCCUGGAGAGGAACUCCUGCACCAUAGUGUCCUGUGGGGGAGGAGAAAAACAAAGGGAAAAUCAUUUAUUUGAGGGGAAAACUGCCCAGUUUGGGGUUUCUGGAAUGUGAGGGUGGCGCUGCAGGAAUUCCCUGUUCCAGCCCCAAAACGGGGUCGAG